rnacentral:rRNA from 1 species
UUCCCCUAGUAACGGCGAGUGAAGCGGGAAGAGCUCAAAUUUAAAAUCUGGCAGUGUAUUCUGUCCGAGUUGUAGUCUACAGAAGCAUCAUCCGUGCUGGACCAUGUACAAGUCUCUUGGAACAGAGCGUCAUAGAGGGUGAGAAUCCCGUCCUUGACAUGGACCCCCAGUGCUUUGUGUUGUGCUCUCAACGAGUCGAGUUGUUUG